CCCUUAGAUGUCCUGGGCCGCACGCGCGUUACACUGAUGCAUUCAACGAGCUUAUAACCUUGGCCGAGAGGCCUGGGCAAUCUUGUUAACGUGCAUCGUGAUAGGGAUAGAUUAUUGAAAUUAUUAAUCUUGAACGAGGAAUUCCUAGUAAACGCAGAUCAUCAAUCUGCAUUGAUUACGUCCCUGCCCUUUGUACACACCGCCCGUCGCACCUACCGAUUGGAUGGUCCGGUGAAGAUUCCGGAUAGGACUUUUUUGAUUUAUUUCAAUUUUGUCUUAAAAGCUAUCUAAACCUCAACAUUUAGAGGAAGGUGAAGUCGUAACA
rnacentral:rRNA from 1 species